GUCAUUUUCUUAUUUAUGAAUAAGAAAUACUGCAGCUGUGCGCUUCGAGGUUUCAGGAUUCUUAACUUAUAAAAAAGCAGCCGUUUUUCCUCCUUGUUUAUAAAAUAGAUACCAACAAAGCAUCGGGAAAAACUUGUAUAAAAACGAUGUCCAGAACACAUGAAUUCUUUCGUUGUCUACCUGCGCGUUCCUCAUCCAAACCCUGAAGAUAAGGUUUCCGCCAAGAUAGAUGAGCUGCCAAAACAAGAGGGUAGGCAGAAAAAACGAUUCCGGAAGAAACUGAAGGAAGUGUACUCACUCUUCCAGAGGCACCUGAAGUUCAAAAGCGAAAAAGGUCCCUAACUAGAACACCGGCACUUACUGGAAACUCACAACAGGCCCGAGGAUCACCUUCGUUUGACUGAGUGCAGAUUCAAUUCGAUGGCAUGCAGCGGAAAGUACGGUUGUUUAGCGAGUGGGAUCUUAGCACAUGUCGAAGCUGUGACUGUGGAGUACGAUCGGAUAGACCGAUCAUUGCUGUUAAAUAUCCACCAAAUGGCGACAAAACUCAAAAACAGCAUUCAGUGUUUAAGUCAUAUAUCAUGUUUUCUUAAGGACCCCGGUGGAACACAAACAGCAAUCUUCUUGAAAAAAAAAAUUAAUUUAUUUUAUAUUCUUUUAACAUUAAUUUUCAUUAUAUACAACCAAUAAACAAUUAA